AUGCGGUUUUUGCUCCUUUUAAUGUUCACUAUGGCGGCUCUGGAAGGUGUCCGGUCGCAGGUCCAGCUGGUGGAGUCCGGAGGGGAUGUGAAAAAGCCUGGAGACUCUCUCCGCCUCUCCUGCAAAGCCUCCGGGUUCACUUUCAGCAGCUACUACAUGGAUUGGUUCCGCCAGGCUCCCGGGAAGGGGCUGGAGUGGGUGGCUCAGAUUAGACCCGAUGCAUCCAACCAGUGGUAUUCCCCGGCUGUUCAAGGGCGAUUCACCAUCUCCAGGGACAAUCCCAACAGCCUGCUGUAUCUGCAAAUGACCGGCCUGAAGCCCGAGGACACCGCCCGGUAUCACUGUGCCAGACACACA